rnacentral:rRNA from 1 species
AAAAACAUAACUACAUGUAUAUGUAUGUAGCUAUUUCUGCUCAAUGAGAUAAUUAAAUAGCCGCAGUAAUUUGACUGUGCAAAGGUAGCAUAAUCAGUUGGCUUAUAAUUGAAGUCUAGUAUGAAUGAAUUUGUGGGGGUUUACUGUAUCUUAGUUGUAUUUUAAAAUUACUAAAUAAGUGAAAAUUCUUAUAGUUUAAUAAUAGACGAGAAGACCCUAGAAAUUUUUAGAAUUAUAUAGAUGGUAUAUAAAAAGUUUUUGUUGGGGCGACAAAGUAGCAAAGAACCUACUUUAAUUAAUUUGUUUAUAAUGGUAAGUUUAAAUAAAUUACUCUAGGGAUAACAGCAUAAUAUUAUAAAGUUUGUGACCUCGAUGUUGGACUAGGAAAUAAUAGCUCAAAAAGCUAAUUAUAGUGCUCUGUUCGAGCAAAUAAACCUACGUGAUCUGA